UUUCUCUUAGGGAGCCUGCCAGGAAGUUGUGGGGGCAGCAGCAGACGUGCGAGGUGAUUAAUAACAACAUAGAUAACUUCUGCUGAGGAAUUUCACAAGCUGAGCUUUAACAGGCAUUAACUCACUUAAUCCUCGCACCAAGUCUCAGAGAUUACAAAUUCAAAUGCCUAACUGGUCCAGGAAAACAACUGGAAAUGAGGGGAGAGAGCUGAGUGGAGAAUGUCAUGCACUGGUGGGCUUGUAUCUAUCCAAGAACAGAAGCCUUCCUGAGCUCUAGCUGACUGAUGCCAGAAAGAAGCUUCACUGAUGCAUUACAUUCGUUGCUAUGCAAUGUCAAGGAAUACUAUCAUUAUGAUUAGUACCAUCUGCAACAAAUGAGAGGAAGCAACACACAACAGAGCUGAAGAUUCAGAGCCUCUCUCCCAGCUGACUUGGGUGUGUACUAGUACACUGCCUCUAGAUUUUUACAACCGCAUGCAUACAAUCCACAGGGCAAACCACUUCAAUAGAACAUGGCUGGCAGCCAUAUGGUCACAUAUGAAUCCAACAGUUAAUUUAGCAAAGAAAACUGCUUGUAACAAGUUUUGAAUAUGUUAUCCCAGGUAGUACUUUGUUGACAAAUGAGAUGAUUGCCCAGAAAAUGAUAGUAACAUUUGUAAAAAGGGUUUGGAACCAAUUGAGAGAUGCAGCCAAGAAUCAAGCACUUGAAGAUCAAAGUGAUGGCUUUGUAACUGACAAAGCCUGGGUUGGAGAACACAGCUUAGAUAAAGCACAGAAGAUUCAAGCUGCCUCCGGUCUUAAGAAGUUAACAUGGAAUUUGGCUGUUUCAAAAAUUAAAAUCUGCU